CAAUAGCGUAUAUUAAAGUUGUUGCGGUUAAAAAGCUCGUAGUUGGAUUUCUGCUGAGAACGACCGGUCCGCCCUCUGGGUGUGUAUCUGGCUCUUUCUUGGCAUCUUCUUGGUGAACGUUGCUGCACUUGACUGUGUGGAGCGCUACCCAGGACUUUUACUUUGAGGAAAUUAGAGUGUUUCAAGCAGGCAUACGCCUUGAAUACAUUAGCAUGGAAUAAUAAGAUAGGACCUCGGUUCUAUUUUGUUGGUUUCUAGAACCAACGUAAUGAUUAAUAGGGAUAAUUGGGGGCAUUCGUAUUCAACUGUCAGAGGUGAAAUUCUUGGAUUAGUUGAAGACGAUCUACUGCGAANGNAUUUGCNAGGGAUGUUUNCAUUG
rnacentral:rRNA from 1 species